GUACUCCUACGGGGAGGCAGCAGUGGGGAAUAUUGCACAAUGGGGGAAACCCUGAUGCAGCCAUGCCGCGUGUGUGAAGAAGGCCUUCGGGGUUGUAAAGCACUUUCAGUAGGGAGGAAGGUAGUGUAGUUAACACCUGCACUAUUUGACGUUACCUACAGAAGAAGCACCGGCUAACUCCGUGCCAGCAGCCGCGGUAAUACGGAGGGUGCGAGCGUUAAUCGGAAUUACUGGGCGUAAAGCGCAUGCAGGCGGCCUGUUAAGUCAGAUGUGAAAGCCCGGGGCUUAACCUCGGAAUUGCAUUUGAAACUGGCAGGCUAGAGUCUUGUAGAGGGGGGUAGGAAUUUCAGGUGUAGCGGUGAAAUGCGUAGAGAUCUGAAGGAAUACCAGUGGCGAAGGCGGCCCCCUGGACAAAGACUGACGCUCAGAUGCGAAAGCGUGGGGAGCAAACAGGAUUAGAUACCCUGGUAG
rnacentral:rRNA from 1 species